rnacentral:rRNA from 1 species
UGGCUCAGGUNGAACGCNGGCGGCGUGCCUAAUACAUGCAAGUCGAGCGAACGGACAGGAGUGCUUGCACUCCUUGAAGUUAGCGGCGGACGGGUGAGUAACACGUGGGUAACCUACCUAUAAGACUGGGAUAACUUCGGGAAACCGGAGCUAAUACCGGAUAAUAUAUACCUCCGCAUGGAGGAAUAGUCAAAGACGGUUCUGCUGUCACUUAUAGAUGGACCCGCGGUGUAUUAGCUAGUUGGUGAGGUAACGGCUCACCAAGGCAACGAUACAUAGCCGACCUGAGAGGGUGAUCGGCCACACUGGGACUGAGACACGGCCCAGACUCCUACGGGAGGCAGCAGUAGGGAAUCUUCCGCAAUGGACGAAAGUCUGACGGAGCAACGCCGCGUGAGUGAAGAAGGUUUUCGGAUCGUAAAACUCUGUUGUAAGGGAAGAACAAGUACGUUAGUAACUGAACGUACCU